GUAGGUGGCAAGCGUUGUCCGGAAUUAUUGGGCGUAAAGCGCGCGCAGGCGGUCCUUUAAGUCUGAUGUGAAAGCCCACGGCUCAACCGUGGAGGGUCAUUGGAAACUGGGGGACUUGAGUACAGAAGAGGAAAGCGGAAUUCCAAGUGUAGCGGUGAAAUGCGUAGAGAUUUGGAGGAACACCAGUGGCGAAGGCGGCUUUCUGGUCUGUAACUGACGCUGAGGCGCGAAAGCGUGGGGAGCAAACAGGAUUAGAUACCCUGGUAGUCCACGCCGUAAACGAUGAGUGCUAAGUGUUAGGGGGUUUCCGCCCCUUAGUGCUGCAGCUAACGCAUUAAGCACUCCGCCUGGGGAGUACGGCCGUAAGGCUG
rnacentral:rRNA from 1 species